CCUACGGGAGGCAGCAGUGGGGAAUAUUGGACAAUGGGGGGAACCCUGAUCCAGCCAUGCCGCGUGUGUGAAGAAGGCCCUCGGGUUGUAAAGCACUUUCAGUGAGGAAGAACGCCUGGUGGUUAAUACCCAUCAGGAAAAACAUCACUCACAGAAGAAGCACCGGCUAACUCCGUGCCAGCAGCCGCGGUAAUACGGAGGGUGCGAGCGUUAAUCGGAAUUACUGGGCGUAAAGCGCGCGUAGGUGGCUUGAUAAGCCGGUUGUGAAAGCCCCGGGCUCAACCUGGGAACGGCAUCCGGAACUGUCAAGCUAGAGUGCAGGAGAGGAAGGUAGAAUUCCCGGUGUAGCGGUGAAAUGCGUAGAGAUCGGGAGGAAUACCAGUGGCGAAGGCGGCCUUCUGGACUGACACUGACACUGAGGUGCGAAAGCGUGGGUAGCAAACAGGAUUAGAUACCCUUGUAGUC
rnacentral:rRNA from 1 species